UUCCUAUUAGCUCAAUGGUAGAGCGGAAUACUUCUAAUAUUUUGAUUUAAGUUCGAGUCUUAGAUAGGAUA
rnacentral:tRNA from 1 species